UGGGGAAUAUUGCACAAUGGGCGCAAGCCUGAUGCAGCCAUGCCGCGUGUGUGAAGAAGGCCUUCGGGUUGUAAAGCACUUUCAGCGAGGAGGAAGGUGGUGGACUUAAUACGUUCAUCAAUUGACGUUACUCGCAGAAGAAGCACCGGCUAACUCCGUGCCAGCAGCCGCGGUAAUACGGAGGGUGCAAGCGUUAAUCGGAAUUACUGGGCGUAAAGCGCACGCAGGCGGUUUGUUAAGUCAGAUGUGAAAUCCCCGGGCUCAACCUGGGAACUGCAUUUGAAACUGGCAAGCUAGAGUCUCGUAGAGGGGGGUAGAAUUCCAGGUGUAGCGGUGAAAUGCGUAGAGAUCUGGAGGAAUACCGGUGGCGAAGGCGGCCCCCUGGACGAAGACUGACGCUCAGGCUGCGAAAGCGUGGGGCAGCAAACAGGAUUAGAUACCCUGGUAGUCCACGCUGUAAACGAUGUCGAUUUUGGAGGUUGUGCCCUUGAGGCGUGGCUUCCGGAGCUAACGCGUUAAA
rnacentral:rRNA from 1 species